UGGAACCCAUCCGAAGUUCCAGGCUGAG
rnacentral:sRNA from 1 species